AUGCCGCCGCGGCCGGAGCCGUGCAGCUCGUCGUCGUCGCUGGGGAAGGACAGCGACGAGGGCGGCGCGCCGGCGGGGACGGAGGACGGGGAGGGGGAGGUGCAGAGCGCCUACAGCGGCGUGGGGCUCGACGGCCUCGCCGCAUUGGAGGAGUCGCUUCCCAUCCGGCGUGGCAUUUCUAAAUUCUAUAAUGGCAAGUCCAGAUCUUUCACAUUCCUCAAGGAAGCUAUCGGGCCAUCUGGUUCUGCAAAGGUCAUUGCCAAGGCAGACAAUGCUUACUCCAGGAAACGGAAAAAUCUUCUUGCAUACAGCAUCAUGUACGAUCAGUCACAGAUCACCGUUCCGGAGACCUACAAGAACGGUAUCACUAAGAGGCUUGCGGGUUUAAGCAGGUUGAGGCCCUCGGAUGGUAUGAGCUCCAACAGCAGCAGUAGCAGCAGCCUCAGCAGCGACGAAAACGAGCUGCCUCAGCAGUUCAUUUUUGUUCAGUCACCUGACAACACUGCACAAUUUGCUUCUCCGACGAUACCUGCACCUCGGCUUGGGUCUUGCGCGUCUAAGAUAUUGCCCAUGCCAAUAAGGUCGUUUUCGAUGGUGAAUCUGCAACGUUUGCACAGCCGCUGCUCAUCUGUUUGCCUGGAAAAAGAACCGGAGGCUGAUUAA
rnacentral:rRNA from 1 species